rnacentral:rRNA from 1 species
UACAGAGGGGGCAAGCGUUGUUCGGAUUUACUGGGCGUAAAGGGCGCGCAGGCGGCUUAUUUUGUCAGGCGUGAAAGCCCCGGGCUUAACCUGGGAACUGCGUUUGAUACGGAUGGGCUAGAGUUCGGGAGAGGAGAGUGGAAUUCCCAGUGUAGAGGUGAAAUUCGUAGAUAUUGGGAAGAACACCGGUGGCGAAGGCGGCUCUCUGGACCGAUACUGACGCUGAGGCGCGAAAGCGUGGGGAGCAAACAGG